rnacentral:lncRNA from 1 species
CUAGGGUUAAGUGGGGUGAGUAGGCGGUCUCUUCCUGAAGGUAAUGCGUUCUAAGGUGCACUAAAUUGUCCGGCCUUGGACACAGGCCCCACAGACAGGGAUUAAGGCGCGUAGUGACAGUGCACUUAUUCCCAGCCUGGGUCACUCAAAUCGCCUACAAGGUCCUGACCACAGCUCCAUGGCUCCCCAUACAGAUAUUCACGUGGGGGAGAGCAUGUAUUUCUCUCUCUUUCUAAUGGAAACCUUUAUCACUAUCAUAGGCAGGCGGAAGAGAAAAUUACAGCCAAAUGGAGAGCAAAUGAGGUUCUACAGAAGUCGAAGCAACACUGGCUUUAUAGCUUUUUUUCCCCUUUCAAUUUAUUCUUUGUUCAUCGCUACAGUUGGUGGUGUUAACCGGCCUCGAGUCCUUGGACCCCACAAAGGCAGAAACCAGCUGGACCCCAAAUUUAAAAGCACAGGAAAAGUGCUAACAGCCUUCAGGCUGCAGAGAGUUUCCCUCUCUGCACAGGGGCUUGUUCCCAAGGUCCCCAACCCGCUCACCACCAUCGCUGAAGAUCUAAAGGACAGAAAAACGUAUUAACAUGUAGUGAAAAGAGCUCUAGAUUUGGAAGCAGGGGACCUGAAAUCUGCUCUUCUUUCAACACUUCUUAGCUGUUUAAUCAUUAAAUUGAUUACCAUGAACAAUUUAUCCCAUGACAUAUCAUUUCUCUUCUCCCAUUAAAUCUUCCACUCCCUCCUUGUCUGAAUGGAUUAGCCUCUGAGGGCCACAGUUAGCUCCUGUAUAAGAUAAGAACAGUAAUGUCUAUCCCCUCGUGCAAGGCGGGUGGGGGGUCUGGACAAGGUCAGUUCUUGUACACAUCAGUUCAGUGAUCAGAGAAUCCUAUGAAUUAGAGAAAGCCAGCUGUAAGCUGGUGCCUGGUUCCCGACCAUGAGGCAAUGAUAAAAUAUGCCAAUGAUGAGAUAUGCCAAUGUCUGGCAGCCAUUAGGACAAAUAGUUACUUAGAGAUAACCAGUAUGCACCCUACCAAUGCUGAAGAUAAUUUUUAUUGAGAGUAGGCACACCUCGGAGAUAGUGUGGGUUCAGUCCCAGACCACUGCAAUAAAGGAAAUAUCUCAAUAAAGCGAGCCA